GCAUUGGUGGUUCGGUGGUAGAAUUCCCACCUCUCAUGUAGAAGACCUGGGUUUGAUUCCAGGCCAAUGCA
rnacentral:tRNA from 1 species